rnacentral:rRNA from 1 species
GAGGGCAACCUUCCAUGCUGUCUGAGAAGACUCCCAAACUUGAGCGUUUAGAGGAAGUAAAAGUCGUAAUAAGGUUUCCGUAGGUGAACCUGCGGAAGGAUCAUUA